AUUGAACGCUGGCGGCAGGCCUAACACAUGCAAGUCGAACGAGUGGCGGACGGGUGAGUAAUGUCUGGGAAACUGCCUGAUGGAGGGGGAUAACUACUGGAAACGGUAGCUAAUACCGCAUACCAUCGGAUGUGCCCAGAUGGGAUUAGCUAGUAGGUGGGGUAAAGGCUCACCUAGGCGACGAUCCCUAGCUGGUCUGAGAGGAUGACCAGCCACUCUGAAACUGACACACGGUCAAGAGUCCUAGGGGAGGCACCAGUGGGGAAUAUUGCACAAUGGGUGCAAGCCUGAGGCAGCCAUGCCGCGUGUAGUAAGGAGGCACUCGGGUUGUAAAGUACUUUCAGCGAGGAGGCUUUACCCGCGGAAUAAGCACCGGCUAACUCCGUGCCAGCAGCCGCGGUAAUAC
rnacentral:rRNA from 1 species